UAGGGAAUUUUCGUCAAUGGGCGCAAGCCUGAACGAGCGAUGCCGCGUGAGUGAAGAAGGCCUUCGGGUCGUAAAGCUCUGUUGCGGGGGAAAAAAGGCAACUACAGGAAAUGGUAGAUGACAGAUGGUGCCCCGCCAGAAAGUCACGGCUAACUACGUGCC
rnacentral:rRNA from 1 species